AGUUUGUGUAAAGUUGACUUUGACAAUUUUUAUCGACGCUAUUCAUUGACGCUAUUUAAUAACCUCAAAUAAUGUAAUUCUUCGUAUAUUGUAUUUGUAUUGACGAUAUUUGGUAAAAUGUAUUAAAUCUGUGAUAUUUAUAAGUUACUAUAUUGCAAAUGUGAUCAGAGUAUACCAUAUGUGUGUGAUACAAAAAAGGUGCGUUGUUACUAGUGGAGCUUUGUUUUGUGUAAAUAAGUUUAGCAACAACGAAGUUUUGCUAUGUUUAACUUGUUUGAAAGUUUAGUUUUUUACUAUAUUUAAUACAAGUAAACCCUUAAUUUCAUUUUGUAUUAUUAGAUAGUAUGGAAAAGUGAUAUAGUUUUGUGUUUGUGUCAGAUAUGUUGUCAAGCCAUCGUAGUGAGGUAAGUGUAAGACCAUAAAAUUGGAAAUUAAUCAAUUGUCUUCCUGAAUCAUAUUGGUAAGUCAUCAAUUUAAUUAAAAUAUACUUUUAGUUAAGUUAGAAGUGAUUUUUCUUAGUAAAUCAAAUGUGAACAUUAUUUCAAACAACAUAAUUUCAACUGAAUAAAGAUUCUAGCACAACUAGUUGUUUCAUUUUUUGAUUUAUUUUUAUUUUAAAUGUUCCAAUUAGUCUUAUUUAUCCACAUCAAUACAUUCAGUAAAAAAAUUUCAGUUUACCUGAAAUGUUCAAAUCCUAUGCAUGAAUUUGUAAACCAAUCUUAAUUCUAUAUGGAAGUUUUUAUCGACCACGGAGUUGUGAUUUAUUUACUGUGUGAAAUGGAGAAGGUAAUGGCAAACCAUUAAUUUACUAUUGACAGUUGUAUUGGUCUGACGAAGAAAGAAUAUUGAAAAAACAUAGUUGGAAGUAUUUAAUUCAGCACUUUAUGAUCACUAUCCUUAGCCAUGAAGAAUAUGACUAUUUAAUAUGUUUUAAAAUUUAUGCUGUAAAAGCAAUGCUGUUUUCAUGGUAAUGUGUGGACCUGUUCUUUUUCAAUGGCAGGUUUAAUAAAUUACAUUUCUCUCUCUCUCUCUCUGAGAAUUUCCCGAUUUCAUUUCGGCUGUGGUUUCCUUGUUUUUUUCUUAUGGUUUACCCCUUUAUGUCUACAGGUUUAUUGAACUCUUUGAAUAAAAAUCAUAGGCAUGUAUAUUUCCAACAAUAGCGUUUCUUACUACCUUUGUAAAUAUGUAUUUAAUUUGUGUCGGUGAAUGACGUGCACGGAUAGGUUUGUUUCAAUCACACAUAUACGUGAGGAAGAAAACAACGACACGACUGUCUCUUGCACAUGUCAGUUGCAUGACUGAGACAGACAGAGCAGGGUAGCGUCGCGCAGCGGACACCUGUGACGCGGCUUCCUAUCUAUAGAUGCGACAAGACAGCGCACAGUAUCAAACGGUUGUACCUAUGUAAAGUCCGUAUUUUCACGAACAGAUUUACAUGUAGUUGAACAUAAAUCAAAAACUAGUUCAAACCUGUACAUUCUUAUGAAAAGAUUUAUUAACCGCGAAAAUACGUGUGGCUUGGGGUAUUCAUAAGGUACGACGUGUAUAGGUGCUCUAACACAACGUGUUGCAAAAUGUUAUAUAACACUUGUGUUUGUGACACUUUUGUCAAGAAUGUGUUUAAGAAAAAAGACAACAAAUGUUUUUUAACAUUUCGUAACACGCUGUAUUAGAGCACCUAUACACGUCGUAGUUCAAUGCUCCGUCGUUCAGUGAAGACUGUAAUGCCGGCUACACACUAUCCCCGAAGUUAGAUGGA